rnacentral:rRNA from 1 species
UGGCGGCGUGCUUAACACAUGCAAGUCGAACGGAAAGGCUCYUUGCUUGCAAGGGGUACUCGAGUGGCGAACGGGUGAGUAACACGUGGGUGAUCUGCCUUGCACUUCGGGAUAAGCCUGGGAAACUGGGUCUAAUACCGGAUAGGACCAUGCUUUAGUGUGUGUGGUGGAAAGUUUUUCGGUGCAAGAUGAGCCCGCGGCCUAUCAGCUUGUUGGUGGGGUAAUGGCCUACCAAGGCGACGACGGGUAGCCGGCCUGAGAGGGUGUACGGCCACAUUGGGACUGAGACACGGCCCAGACUCCUACGGGAGGCAGCAGUGGGGAAUAUUGCACAAUGGGCGCAAGCCUGAUGCAGCGACGCCGCGUGGGGGAUGACGGCCUUCGGGUUGUAAACUCCUUUCGCUAGGGAAGAAGCCUUUUGGUGACGGUACCUGSWUAAGAAGCACCRGCUAAYUACKUGCCASCAGCCGCSGUAAUACGUAGGGUGCGAGCGUYGUCCGGAAUUACUGGGCGUARAGAGCUCGUAGGUGGUUUGUCGCGUCGUCUGUGAAAUCCC